rnacentral:siRNA from 1 species
UCCCCGGAGACGGAGUGUGGGC